CUGAUCAUCGGUGAGCCAAGCCUGGAAGCCUGAGCCAUCACCAGCUGGGUGGUAGCCAGCUGUGGCUCAGGGCCACUCUAGAAACACUUGCCUUGGGCUGCAGCUGCCCUGGGCUACUACCCUGAUCCCUAGGAAACGGGGCAUGGGGCAUUCUCCUGAACAGAGCCCUUGCCAAUGCCCAGCAAGAAACCAGUGUGGCAUUGGGAUUGGAAAACCUGGAGGGUGAAUAUGGACUCUGAUGUGCCAACUUACAGAAGAAGCAUAGGCAAGAUUCUUAGUCUCUACAUCAAGCUGAGUCCUUGAAGUGGUUGGAGGGACAAAACAGAAUUCCUGGAGACAGUGUCCUAAGGGAGUGCCAGAGGCACUCACUUGUUUGACAACUAAUUUUGGAGGCAGGUGCUCUUCCUUGUCUUAGGAUCUUCCAGUCAACAAGGCUGAAAAUCUCCCUGCCUCCUGGAGUUUGCUUCUGUGGAAGAAGGCAGUCAGCAAACACAUGAACAAAGACAAGUCCAGGG
rnacentral:lncRNA from 1 species